GCCCCGGUAGCUCAGUUCAGGCAGACGAAAAGGUCAAUAGCAGCCGGCUGUUAACCGGCUGGUCGGAGGUUCGAGUCCUCCCCGGGGCG
rnacentral:tRNA from 1 species